GACGAACGCUGGCGGCGUGCUUAACACAUGCAAGUCGAACGCUGAAGCACCAGCUUGCUGGUGUGGAUGAGUGGCGAACGGGUGAGUAAUACGUGAGUAACCUGCCCUUGACUCUGGGAUAAGCCCGGGAAACUGGGUCUAAUACUGGAUGCUACAUGUCACCGCAUGGUGGUGUGUGGAAAGGGUUUACUGGUCUUGGAUGGGCUCACGGCCUAUCAGCUUGUUGGUGAGGUAAUGGCUCACCAAGGCGACGACGGGUAGCCGGCCUGAGAGGGUGACCGGCCACACUGGGACUGAGACACGGCCCAGACUCCUACGGGAGGCAGCAGGGGGGCAUAUUGCACAAUGGGCGAAAGCCUGAUGCAGCGACGCCGCGUGAGGGAUGACGGCCUUCGGGUUGUAAACCUCUUUCAGCAGGGAAGAAGCCACAAGUGACGGUACCUGCAGAAGAAGCGCCGGCUAACUACGUGCCAGCAGCCGCAGUAA
rnacentral:rRNA from 1 species